GUCACACAGAGUUCUGUGGGAAGGAUCAGUAUUUUCCUCAAAAAGAGCAUUAAAUGGGGCACCUGGGUGGUGUUGGGGGAAUUUCAUUGUACUCUAAACUAUUGCUCUGCUUGGAGCCCUCAGCAUUUCUUAACUUUGGCCAGAAAAGGCCACCUACGAGUACUGUCUGCUUCCACCCUCAUCCUCUUAAUUGCAUCCUCUUUUAGACCACAAGACUGUUUUCUCUACAGCUCAAGUCUUUGUUAUGUGUUUGAGAAGUCCCUCAAGGGCUUCCCGUCAUUUUUAGAGGUUUCUUUUUCUUUUUCUUUUCUUUUUUUUUUUUUUUUUUUUUUUGGCAUUGAUAGCAAAGUGAAAAUUUGUGAAACUAGCCAAAAUUGUCUUCUCUUUCAAACCAGAUCCAUAUAUGGGGCCUGUUGCUUCUCUGAGGAAAUGCACAAUCUGAAUUCUCAGACAAAAAUGGGCAACUGGCAAUUCUCUAACAUAUCCCAAUUUUUAUUGGAAUUUUCCAUGGAAUGUCAUUACAUUGAAGCCAUGUAAGGUGAAGCUUUGGUAAUUUUUUACUUUUUAAAUUAUGGUAAAUUCUAAUAUUCGAAACAUUUUGUACUCCACAUGAAAAAUGCUAAAUUUUAGUGCACGUAUUUAGAAAAGUAUUGACUGGAGUGGUUGAAUUCUGUAAGAAUUUCUUUUAUAGUCUCAUUCAUAAGUACUUUAUUCAAUUGACUUAAAUUUCUAAAAUAGUAGACUGAAUAUUUUUUAUUGUAAACUUAGCAGAGUAAAUCCUUCGGAAUUUCUUUUGUUUUUUCCUUAUGAUAACUCAUUUAAAAAACUGAAUUAGUUUUCUUAGAUGACCUGUCUGUCUCUAGAGAAUAAAUAAAAUACUCUUGGGUUUUCAGUGGCUGUAGUACCUGGUACAGGGUUUCCUAGAGCCAGAAACAAGUUAUGUUGAAGUUAAUUUUUCUUUGUCACAAUUUUGGACAAUAAAGUCUUAAAGAUCUUUGAAUUUGAAGAUUUAGAUUCUCUACUGGGGCCUUUGAAACUUAGAUGGAAGAAAUCCAAGCAGACUAAUUUAUAUUAGAGUUUAAUCUUGUGUGGUAGGAAGAUGAAUAGUUGACCAAGAAUUCUUGUCACCUUAUACAUUUUGUGGUCCCCUCCCCCCCGCCAAGUUUUUUUGUAUUUUAAAUGUAUUUUGAGGUAUGUGAACAUUAAUUGUAAUGUAAAGUAUUUUACAGCUGUGUUUGUGACUUUAUAGGCAGGUGAAUUUUGCCAUUACUAUUGAUCACAAAUGAUGAUAAUUUGUGACCACUUACACAUCAUUAGUGACAUUUAAUGACAAAAGUUUAAGAUGUCCACUGUGGGUGUUAAUUUUGAAGACCUAAAUUAUAUGUUAUUUAAAUUUUUCCCUACAUCUGAAAACUCUUAACUGCCAAACAAUGUAAGAUUCCCACAGAGCUCUCUGGAUUAUGCAAUUGUUGAAAACAUUACAUGCUAAGUGAUACGUAUCACUGAGCCAUUUUCUCAAAAUAGAAGGGGAAAAGAAAAAAAAAUAACGAUUAUCAGACUUUCCUCAUGAAACAGAAAGCCAAGAAAAAAAAAAUCCCUCUGUAUUUUAAAAAAGACAAUUGAGACGUGCCCAAACUUUAAGUGAGGAUUUCUUCAACCGUCUAAAUGCUCUAGAGAUUUGUUUUCCCUGUUCACAACCAGUUGUAUAAGAGACCUACUCGAUACUGUUUUCCUCCCUGUGUGUGAAGUAAUGAAUCAUUGAUUAUGUGACUUGUUAUGUAUUCUAUUAAACACUAAAGAAUAAAACAUUCACUCCUUUAAUUAUUCCUUUUGACUCCUGGGUAUGGAUUGGCUUGAAGAGUGGUCUGAUUUCAUUUAAGGGGUUAAGUACUGGGAGGGAAUGCUUCCCAGGUUGUUGUGGGGCUGUUGAUGAACAUUGGGCCCUCAGAACUCCUCACGGUGUAACUGGCCAGCUUGGCCAGGAGUGAACAGGCUUCGGCCCCAGUUUAUUGUCUGUUGAAUGCCUGUUAAGGUGGGUUGUUAGGGUGGAGGAAGAGUCCUUCCCAUUUUCUUGGACCUCAGUCUUAGCAGCACAUGCCAAUUAUUUUCGAACGUGGGGAAUGAAGGGAAAGAUGCCUUUUAAAGUUUGUAGGGGUGGCUCAGUUAAGUGUCUCACUCCUGAUUUCAGCUCAGGUCAUGAUCUCUGGGUCUUGAUAUCAAGCCCUGUGUUGGGAUCCAUGCUGGGCGUGGAGCCUGCUUAAGAUUCUCUCUCUUUCUGUCUGUCUGUCCCUCCCUGGCUCAUACUUGCAUUCUCUCUCUCUCUCUCUCUCUCUCUCUCAAAAAAAAGAAAAAGUUUGUAGGGGAAAAAAAUAGAAACUUCGAGACAUGCCUUAAUUAAAAGUAGAAUUUGUGAAGAUAAAUUUCCACAGAAUGUUGGGAGAGAAUCUGCAUUUUUAUGAUAGGGUCUCUCCCCUGUAUCCCCUCCAUCACUGGUGACCCUCCUCUUGAAAGAGAGCACAGAGCCUUCCAGACUGAGAAAUCAGCCAAGCUGAAGGCGGGGGGCAACAGCCUGGUCUGCUGGGCUGUGGCACCGGAAGCCAGGAGUGGCGCAUGGAGAGGGAGCCGGGCUUCGCCCUUCCUCUUUGCUUUUGCCUGUACUUCCUCUAGAUAGCUUUUGUUCUGAAAGUGUGUGUGUUUAUGUACAAAUACACACAUAAACAAUUUUGUUUUUGGAAAGUUUAUGUGGAAACUAUAAGCAAUGUAAUUUUUGUAUAUCCUAGCAAAUGAGUCUCCCUCCUCCAGUAAUCCCUGGAGGGGUUUUUCUCCCCAGGGGGAACCAUUGGUGUGUUGUUACAGAGACAUUCUAUAUAUAAUAUAUAUAUUCCUCCCUUUUUUCUGUUCAGCAGGAAUUAUACCUGCCCCGUGUCCUGCGUUCUUUGAACCACACGUUCUGGAGCUCUUGCCAUGCGUGCCUGAAUGUGUAGCAAUGAUGCACCUCCUUUGACUUGAUAGCUCCGUGGUAUUUUGUGU
ensembl:lincRNA